GACGAACGCUGGCGGCGUGCUUAACACAUGCAAGUCGAACGGAAAGGCCCUGCUUUUGUGGGGUGCUCGAGUGGCGAACGGGUGAGUAACACGCGAGUAACCUGCCCUUGACUUUGGGAUAACUUCAGGAAACUGGGGCUAAUACCGGAUAGGAGCUCCUGCUGCAUGGUGGGGGUUGGAAAGUUUCGGCGGUUGGGGAUGGACUCGCGGCUUAUCAGCUUGUUGGUGGGGUAGUGGCUUACCAAGGCUUUGACGGGUAGCCGGCCUGAGAGGGUGACCGGCCACAUUGGGACUGAGAUACGGCCCAGACUCCUACGGGAGGCAGCAGUGGGGAAUAUUGCACAAGGGGCGGAAGCCUGAUGCAGCAACGCCGCGUGCGGGAUGACGGCCUUCGGGUUGUAAACCGCUUUCGCCUGUGACGAAGCGUGAGUGACGGUAAUGGGUAAAGAAGCACCGGCUAACUACGUG
rnacentral:rRNA from 1 species